rnacentral:rRNA from 1 species
CCUGAACGCUGGCGGCGUGGCUAAGACAUGCAAGUCGCACGGGGGCCCGUAGCAAUACGGGUCCAGUGGCGAACGGGUGAGUAAUGAAUCGCUAACGUGCCCCGGACACUGGGAUAGCCAACCGAAAGGUUGGGUAAUACCAGAUGACAUCACCGCACCGCCUGGUGUGGUGCUCAAAGGUCCGCCGGUCUGGGAGGCGGGCGAUUUCGUAUCAGCUAGUUGGUGGGGUAACGGCCCACCAAGGCGACGACGCGUAGCCGGACUGAGA